UUCCCAAGGAAGUUCUUCUGUUAAUAAAAGUCUAAGAAGAUGCUAUUUUUUCCCUUGAACUUCUCUAAGAAGUCAUUCUGCAGAAUAAAGUAUAGACUGAACAAGUGGUUUGAGGUUUAGAAGCCUGAUUAUUACUUUCAAUAUCAGAACAUUAGAAACCUAAAGAAGAGAAAAUAAAUGGAGAUGCAAGGUUAUUGGGAAGAUCA
rnacentral:lncRNA from 1 species